rnacentral:rRNA from 1 species
AUGAGAUUUCCCAACUUCGGUUAUAAGAUCCCUCAAAGAUGAUGAGGUUAAUAGGUUCGAGGUGGAAGCAUGGUGACAUGUGGAGCUGACGAAUACUAAUCGAUCGAAGACUUAAUCAA